UGCAUUGCUCUGGUUCUGUAGGAAACACGGCCCCUUAAUUUGAAAAGCCUUGUUAAAUAUUCCACCGCCACCCUGGAGUAAAGAUUUAAUUGCAGCGGGAAAGGUUUCACGUUACCCAAAGUGAAAACUCUUUCAUUAGUUUGCCAGAUUGUGUCCCUGCAGCUCCAGAAUGUGAAAAAUGUUUCCCCGCCCCAGUGAUGUCAUGAGCGGAAGAAAAGCUUACAAGGUUGAACACUGUCAGAGUUUUGAGAAAAAUGUACAAAGGCUCAAAGAAGCACCAGGAAACAAGGAUUGCCUGCCGGAUGGGGAGAUGCUUGGCAAGGCCAGCCUAGUGAAGACAAGCUAUUUACAUACUUCAAAGAUCUGCAAGUUCACUAUCUGGCAGUGCAUUCUGUUGUGACAUUUCUCUAUCUGAUUGGAAAUGUUUCCUUUAUUCCUUAUCUAACUGGUCACUCUUCUGCAUUCUUGUCACUUAUCCCCAAAGCUAAUACUGCAUACCUUCACAGUUGAAAUGUGAUCAUUUUGUAAUACUGAGCAAGGGAGAACUUGCGUUGAGAUACAGCCUGCAAAAAGCAAAGGUUAGGCUAAUUUUCCCCGGCUAUUUAUAAAACAGGCUAUAACUCGCAUGACUGUGCGUCGCACACAGAGAGAUAGUCUGUGUUAAUGAACUACUCCAUUUUUUUCCUGUUCUCAAUGCUAAAAAGCAACAGUUCAGAGGUUCAAAGGCCUUCAGUGGUUAUUUCUUCAGUAUAAUAAAUCCAUUAUCUUUCCGUGUAUAACAACUGAAAAAAUAAUUUUAGCUUGCAGUCUUGUGAGAGUGUGCCUGAUUUAAUCCCUCACUGGAAGGAUUUGCUUUCUAAGAGCUGAUAAAGAGUUAGAAUACUGUGAAGAAUGACUCUUGCUUUGCUCCAUGGGACCGUCACUCCAAACAUAUCUCGAGGUUAAACAUGUUUAAUAGAUAGUGGAGCAAGCAGGUUUGAAGCGACUUAAAUCGAAAUCAUUAUGUGACUUCAGUAGAACUAACUUUAUUAACUGAUAGGAGCUAGUAUGAUGGUUUCUAGGACAACAGCAUGAAGUGGGAGUGGAUAUUUUUCUAAAUAAUUUAAUAUGUGAUCUUUUCACCUAAGAGUAUUAUUUAAAGAGGUAAAGUCAUUUCUUUGACCACUGCUAUUUUUGACAACCACAACUUUGUUUUCCUCUUCUCCCUUCUCUGUCUGUUCUUCCUUCACUUGAUUGUUGCAUUUCAAUCAAUCAAUGGUGCUUACUCUGUGCAGGGCACUGAACUAAACGCUUCGAAGAGUACUUAUAUUCCAAGUUGGUAGUCAUGAUUCCUGACCAUGAGAAGUUUACCAUCUAUUGGGAAG